AAUCAACGCUGGCGGCGUGCCUAACACAUGCAAGUCGAACGAGAAAGUGGGGGCAACCCUGCGAGUACAGUGGCAGACGGGUGAGUAACACGUGAACAACCUACCCUUGAGUGGGGGAAUAACACCGCGAAAGCGGAGCUAAUACCGCAUAACAUCUUGAGCUCGCAUGGGCGAGAGAUCAAAGCCGAAAGGCGCUUGAGGAGGGGGUUCGCGGCUGAUUAGCUAGUUGGUGAGGUAACGGCUCACCAAGGCGACGAUCAGUAGCCGGCCUGAGAGGGCGAACGGCCACACUGGAACUGAGACACGGUCCAGACUCCUACGGGAGGCAGCAGUGGGGAAUUUUGCGCAAUGGGCGAAAGCCUGACGCAGCAACGCCGCGUGGAGGAUGAAGGCCUUCGGGUCGUAACUACCUGUCGACGGGGAAGAAAGCCGAAAGGUUUAGACUGUACCCGUUGAGGAGCCACGGCUACUCCGUGCCAGCAGCCGCGGUAAUACAUACUCGUAC
rnacentral:rRNA from 1 species